rnacentral:lncRNA from 1 species
GGGACCUCUGUCCUAGUAUUAUUUUCUCUGUUGAAUUCAUCCUACCAGUUGCUGAGCUCUUUAUUUGCACACAUCAGCCUUUUAGGAAGGAUCUCCAGGAAUCCUGUGGGGAGAGGCUGGUGCUGGGGGAAGACAGAGGAAUGCCUGGAGAGGACAGAAGUGAGGCUACACCUGUUGGUCUGGAUUGCAGCUGGAAUUGGAAGGGAAAUGCAUUUCCAUUGAAGGAAGAAGUGUAACAGUGAGCAGGCAGGUGUCAGCGGAUCUCAAGAGAAUAAUGUCAACUGGACAAUGGCUUAGAGGCAGGAGGAGGCAGAUCAGCUAGGCAGAUGUGCAGAAGUUAAGUGUGGUUUCAUGCAGAA